GACGAACGCUGGCGGCGUGCCUAAUACAUGCAAGUCGAGCGGACCUCUUCGGAGGUCAGCGGCGGACGGGUGAGUAACACGUGGGCAACCUGCCUGUAAGACUGGGAUAACACCGGGAAACCGGUGCUAAUACCGGAUAAUCCUUUUUCCUCACAUGAGGGGAAGCUGAAAGACGGUUUCGGCUGUCACUUACAGAUGGGCCCGCGGCGCAUUAGCUAGUUGGUGGGGUAACGGCCCACCAAGGCGACGAUGCGUAGCCGACCUGAGAGGGUGAUCGGCCACACUGGGACUGAGACACGGCCCAGACUCCUACGGGAGGCAGCAGUAGGGAAUCUUCCGCAAUGGACGAAAGUCUGACGGAGCAACGCCGCGUGAGCGAAGAAGGCCUUCGGGUCGUAAAGCUCUGUUGUCAGGGAAGAACACGUACCGGAGUAACUGCCGGCACCUUGACGGUACCUGACCAGAAAGCCACGGCUAACUCCGUGCCAGCCGCCGCCGUAAAAC
rnacentral:rRNA from 1 species